GAUCCAGUGUGUCACAGUGGUUUGAGUGUUGGACUAUGACUCUGUUGACUAGGGUUCAAUUCCCAGCUGCACCA